rnacentral:lncRNA from 1 species
GCCACCUCUCCCGAGGCGCCUUGUGUGCCCCUGAGGCUCCGCUAUGUCUCAUGAGCGCUCCUGUCUCCUCGAGCACAAAUUGCCUGCUGUGUGAGGUGCUGUAUGGUCAUCCUUCUCUCAUAUUGAGGGAGAUUGCCACCACCAAUUCUCUCAAAAUAUUGGUGUUAUUCCUGAUACAGUAGACUCGGUCAUCAGGAACAGUCCAGCACUGUGCUCUCGCUCAAUUCCUCCUCCUCAUCUUGUUACAUAUAGAGGUGGCGCCUGUACAAAAAUCGGGAAAUCCUUCAGUUUCUAUCUUGCAAAUUUCCAAAUAAUUACUGCUGUCUACAUAUAACGCACAUGCAGAUGCAAGGCCAAGCAGCAUCGCAGGUGAGCAAUAUUUGCACGACCUGAUGUUGCUGCUGAGCACAGUCAUGGAAAAGAUAGCCAAGGAAGCCCUUGGCUGAUCUAACGAAGAGAUGAAUAUAUGAUAGAUGUACAUUGGCAUGAUCGCUUCAAGGUUGCUUAACAAGCUUUUCUGCUGUCUCGAUUUAGAUAUAUUGUGCCGCCAGCUUGCGGGUUUGCUUCCCACCUGCCAGAUGCAGAAAUGGCUGGGUGUCUUCACAGAUGCCUUGCAAAUAAGCCUGGAAAUUUGAGGCUCCGAGAUGAUGUACGUAAGGACAAGGACCUUCCAGAACGCCACAGCUCGAAGGUACUCAAGUUGAGAAUUCUAAUCGCGUGAUAAAAGUAGAUAGAGGAACCUUUCAUUAGAGAUGAAAGUGCUUGUCACAAGUGUACGAGUUA